rnacentral:rRNA from 1 species
AGUGAACGCUGGCGGUAGACCUAACACAUGCAAGUCGAACGGCAGCACAGUAAGAGCUUGCUCUUACGGGUGGCGAGUGGCGGACGGGUGAGGAAUACAUCGGAAUCUACUUUUUCGUGGGGGAUAACGUAGGGAAACUUACGCUAAUACCGCAUACGACCUACGGGUGAAAGCAGGGGAUCUUCGGACCUUGCGCGAUUGAAUGAGCCGAUGUCGGAUUAGCUAGUUGUCGGGGUAAAGGCCCACCAAGGCUACGAUCCGUGGCUGGUCUGAUAGGAUGAUCAGCGACACUAGAACUGAGACACGGUCCAGACUCCUACGGGAGGCAGCAGUGGGGAAUAUUGGACAAUGGGCGCAAGCCUGAUCCAGCCAUACCGCGUGGGUGAAGAAGGCAUUCGGGUUGUAAAGCCCUUUUGUUGGGAAAGAAAAGCAGCAGGUUAAUACCCCGCUGUUCUGACGGUACCCAAAGAAUAAGCACCGGCUAACUUCGUG